AACACUGAAUUGGAGUGUUAUAAGAUAAAGACUAUCUAAUCCAUAGAGCAAAACACUUUUCAGGCUAAAAACAAAACCAAUUUAAAAAAACUCAGCCAACAGAUAUAAUAACUAUAAAUCCACAUUAGAAGAAGGUUAGCAGUGAUCAAAUUAAAUGAACAAGAUGGAGGGGGAACUAUGUUGACUGCACAUGGCUUGCCAUGAAGAAGUUCUUUGGCCUGCUGACAGGAUUCAUCAGGCUGUGCACAGUCACAAAAUGUCAACAUCUGGGCAACAUUAAAAGGCAUAUUUUGAUAGAAGAACCUUAUGGCUGCUCGGCAUUGUUCCAUGUGGCACUGCUUUCUGGUUACUGAACAAACUUUGAGAGAUUUGAGCUUUGAUGAAGUCAACCUUCUGGAAGGGCAUGAGACACUGCCAGGCAACCUUAACUCUGCCUUAAAGAUGUUUUUUGUUAUCUGAAACACUGCCGGUGAAAUCCUGUCUCCAUUAAGUUAAUGGACACUUUGCUGUACACCUAA